rnacentral:rRNA from 1 species
UACGUAGGGUGCGAGCGUUGUCCGGAAUUACUGGGCGUAAAGAGCUCGUAGGUGGUUUGUCGCGUUGUCCGUGAAAACUCACAACUCAAUUGUGGGCGUGCGGGCGAUACGGGCAGACUGGAGUACUGCAGGGGAGACUGGAAUUCCUGGUGUAGCGGUGGAAUGCGCAGAUAUCAGGAGGAACACCGGUGGCGAAGGCGGGUCUCUGGGCAUGUCCUGACGCUGAGGAGCGAAAGUGUGGGGGAGCGAACAGG